UCAGUGAGAUUCAAAUCACCGAAUUAAAUAACUAGCCAAUGAACAUUAAUACAUGGUGUAUUUUUCCGCAGUGUAUCGUUAAGUUGUUGUUAUAGAAUGAGUAGUAUCUGUAGAAUUUUUGUUUUAACAUCUUAAACAUACUACAAAUUGCUUUUGAACUGAUGAAGCUUUCGAAAUUGUAAAGCGAAACGUUUUCAAUAUAUCAAUGAAGUAGUUGA